rnacentral:rRNA from 1 species
UAGGGAAUCUUCGGCAAUGGACGGAAGUCUGACCGAGCAACGCCGCGUGAGUGAAGAAGGUUUUCGGAUCGUAAAGCUCUGUUGUAAGAGAAGAACGAGUGUGAGAGUGGAAAGUUCACACUGUGACGGUAUCUUACCAGAAAGGGACGGCUAACUACGUGCCAGCAGCCGCGGUAAUACGUAGGUCCCGAGCGUUGUCCGGAUUUAUUGGGCGUAAAGCGAGCGCAGGCGGUUAGAUAAGUCUGAAGUUAAGGGCUGUGGCUUAACCAUAGUAGGCUUUGGAAACUGUUUAACUUGAGUGCAAGAGGGGAGAGUGGAAUUCCAUGUGUAGCGGUGAAAUGCGUAGAUAUAUGGAGGAACACCGGUGGCGAAAGCGGCUCUCUGGCUUGUAACUGACGCUGAGGCUCGAAAGCGUGGGGAGCAAACAGGAUUAGAUACCCUGGUAGUCCACGCUGUAAACGAUGAGUGCUAGGUGUUAGACCCUUUCCGGGGUUUAGUGCCGUAGCUAACGCAUUGAGCACUCCGCCUGGGGAGUACGACCGCAAGGUUG